CACAGAUAACCAUUUGGAGAGAGCAUAUUCUACUGACUGCCUCCUGCUUCGAAGUGAAUGAGGUCUGACCAUUGAAAUUGAUGAGAUUUUCACAAAUGGAGGAAGCUUGAAGGAAGCAUUAUCCAUCAGUCCAUUAUGGUUGGCGCCAUCAUCAUCUUUUCACUGUUACACAGGAUGGGUCACUGUAACAUCAACAAUCUGUCACUGUAUCUGUUGGAUCACACAUCCAUUAUUCACUUUACUGUAGAGUAAUUUUGGUAAAAUUAUUACAAUGUGAUUUUUAAAAUUAUCUACCAUAAUUCUUUUUUUAGUAGAAGAUGAAAUAGUCACACUUGUCUUUCUUACUUAAAAUUGCCUUAAAACCAGGACAGAAUGCAUGGAGAAGCUAUUAAGGACUCUGAAAAUAAAUAGUAGCAGACAGUUUGGGGGAAAAGAUCAGAAUUUAAAGUACCACUGAACUGUCAGUAUUGCCUCCAAUAUCCUCUAGCCUGAACUCGACCACACCUCCAACCCAGAAGUAGUCAUCAGAGCAUUGAUAUAGAAAACGACAGGAGCAAUCCUCUAGUUCAAACUCAAGAAACAUGGCUGGGCGCAGUGGCUCAUGCCUGUAAUCCCAGCGCUUUGGAAGGCAGAGGCGGGUGGAGCACUUGUGGCCAGGAGUUCAAGACUAGCCUGGCCAACAUGGAAAAACCCCAUCUCUACUAAAAAUACAAAAAAAGAAAAUUAGCCAGGUGUGGUGCUGUGUGUCUGUAAUCCCAGCUACUUGGGAGGCUGAGGCAGGAGAAUCACAUGAAUCCGGGAGGUGGAGGUUGCAGUGAGCGGAGAUUGCACCACUGCACUCCAGCCAGGGUGACGGUGAGACUCCAUCUCAAAAAAAAAAAAAAAAAAGAAAUAAGAAAGAUAACUCCUAACACUCAGUGAGAGUAAGAAUUAUUAUGCAUUUUUCCCCUCUAUUCUUGGAUGACCCAGUCCCCAAGCAAUCUCAUGGCAGCAUUGGCAGUAGAGCCAAAACUCUAAGGAAGGGCACCUCCCUGUCUGAUCAGAGGAGUUAUGAUCACCUACGGGUCGUGUGAAACUCUAUUGCUUUUGCCUGUCUCUGUCUACCUGUCACUGAACAACAGAGUGGGACACCCAAAGCCUUAGAUUUCUGGUAUGACAACCACAAGGGGAAGACCAAGAGUACUGCAAAAAUACUAGGGAGAUUGCAGGGAGAGGAGAGCUUGAGAAAGUGAUCCCUGAAUGUUGACUUUGUACUUCUGAGUUCAUCUCAAAUGAUAUAUGCGUGGCUUUGACCCUCAUUAGUGUCAAUAGACUUUGAGAACUGAACUAUGGGAUAAACCACUGCACAUGUCCCAGCCUGGCCACUGGGUGGUGCUCGCCUGGGUCAGAUAUAAACAACACCGCAAAGGCUUUGAAAACAGCUGAUAUUGGAUAAUUUAUAAUCCAUAAAAGACUGGUUCGAACUUGUGGUCUAAACCCGACUGAUUGCCUGUUAAACAAAAAUAUCAACAUUAUUUGUAGGAUUUUUUUAAAAGACCCACAGUCUCAUAAUAAGAUAUUAAAAAUAUCCUGGAUAAUAUCCAAAAUUAUUGGGCAUCCAAAAAUCUAGGAAAAUCACAACUCGUAUAUGAAAGAACAGUUAAUUGACAUAUAUGCUGAGAUGAUGCACGUUAGAAUUUUCUGAAAAAGAUAUUAAAUCAACUAUUAUAAAAAUGGCCCAAUAAACAAAGGCAAUCACUCUUUUAAUAAAUAAAAACAUGGAAAAUCACAGGAAAGAAAUAGAACAAAAAAUAAG
rnacentral:lncRNA from 1 species